GUGAUGUACACUCUGAAACAUUAUUAAUCGAAGUUAGUUUAACAAAUAAACAUUUUUGUCUUUUAUUCGAUUUAUACAAUAUUCAGAUUUAAAAGUAUACUGUGGUAGCUUAAGAAUUUAUACUUAUCGAGAUUUGAACGACAAUAUUUUCACCAUUGUAUUCCUCGGCCGCGUCAAACAAUAUCACUGAGUCCCGCCAUUCUGAUUUUUUAUUCUGCUUCACGGAAAUUUGGUAUUUAUACGUAUUUUAUUGGAAAUGCAUCUUUAUAAAACUUUCUCUCGUGCUAAAUACUUGCCUAAAUAUACUACUGCUUGCAAAUUAAAGGUAA